CGGUGUGAUGAUAAACAGGAGAAGCUGCACCAGAUUGAGAAGAAAACGAAUUUGCAAAUGAGCGGCCUGUAUUUUCCUGAA
rfam:Daucus carota subsp. sativus cultivar DH1 chromosome 2, whole genome shotgun sequence.